rnacentral:rRNA from 1 species
UGGGGAAUUUUGGACAAUGGGCGCAAGCCUGAUCCAGCCAUGCCGCGUGCGGGAAGAAGGCCUUCGGGUUGUAAACCGCUUUUGUCAGGGAAGAAAUCUUCUGAGUUAAUACCUCGGGAGGAUGACGGUACCUGAAGAAUAAGCACCGGCUAACUACGUGCCAGCAGCCGCGGUAAUACGUAGGGUGCAAGCGUUAAUCGGAAUUACUGGGCGUAAAGCGUGCGCAGGCGGUUUUGUAAGACAGAGGUGAAAUCCCCGGGCUCAACCUGGGAACUGCCUUUGUGACUGCAAGGCUUGAGUGCGGCAGAGAGGGAUGGAAUUCCGCGUGUAGCAGUGAAAUGCGUAGAUAUGCGGAGGAACACCGAUGGCGAAGGCAAUCCCCUGGGCCUGCACUGACGCUCAUGCACGAAAGCGUGGGGAGCAAACAGGAUUAGAUACCCCUGGUAGUCCACGCCCUAAACGAUGUCAACUGGUUGUUGGGAAGGUUCCUUCUCAGUAACGUAGCUAACGCGUGAAGUUGACCGCCUGGGGAGUACGGCCGCAAGGUUGAAACUCAAAUGAAUUGAC